AGCGAACGCUGGCGGCAGGCUUAACACAUGCAAGUCGAACGGGCACUUCGGUGCUAGUGGCAGACGGGUGAGUAACCCGUGGGAACGUACCUUUCGGUUCGGAAGAAUAUAGGGAAACUCGUACUAAUACCGGAUACGCCCUUCGGGGGAAAGAUUUAUCGCCGAUAGAUCGGCCCGCGUCUGAUUAGCUAGUUGGUGAGGUAAUGGCUCACCAAGGCGACGAUCAGUAGCUGGUCUGAGAGGAUGAUCAGCCACACUGGGACUGAGACACGGCCCAGACUCCUACGGGAGGCAGCAGUGGGGAAUAUUGGACAAUGGGCGAAAGCCUGAUCCAGCCAUGCCGCGUGAGUGAUGAAGGCCUUAGGGUUGUAAAGCUCUUUUGUCCGGGAAGAUAAUGACUGUACCGGAAGAAUAAGCCCCGGCUAACUUCGUGCCAGCCGCCGCAGUAA
rnacentral:rRNA from 1 species